UACGGAGGGUGCGAGCGUUAAUCGGAAUUACUGGGCGUAAAGCGCGCGUAGGCGGUUUGGUCAGUCGAUUGUGAAAGCCCUGGGCUUAACCUGGGAAUUGCAGUCGAUACUGCCUGACUAGAAUGUGGAAGAGGGAAGUGGAAUUUCCGGUGUAGCGGUGAAAUGCGUAGAUAUCGGAAGGAACACCAGUGGCGAAGGCGGCUUCCUGGUCCAACAUUGACGCUGAGGUGCGAAAGCGUGGGGAGCGAACAGGAUUAGAUACCCUGGUAGUCCACGCCGUAAACGAUGAGAACUAGAUGUCGGGAGGGUUUAGCCUCUCGGUGUCGCAGCUAACGCGUUAAGUUCUCCGCCUGGGGAGUACGCCGGCAACGGUA
rnacentral:rRNA from 1 species